rnacentral:lncRNA from 1 species
UUUCUCUGUCGCUCUCCGUCUCCUUCUCUUUGCGGCUGAACCAGGUGAGACUCGCACGCAUCUUCCCCUCGAUUUUCGUCCUCCGCUCUAUUUUCAUCGAUUACGUCGCUUGAAAACUUAGAUAAGUGAGUUAAAUUAGGUUUGAUUUCAUUUGUUAAUCUGCGAUCUAGCUUCUUCCGUUCUUCUUUCUCUGCAACUCUCUUCUCAUUGUCUUCGCACGCUGAACCGGUUAGAUUAGUGUUGAUCUCUAUCUGUUUCUUCCCCUCGAUUUUCAUCCUCUGCUUGAUUUUCAUCGAUUACAUCGUUUGAAAACUUAGAUAAGUGAGUUAGAUUAGGUUUGAUUUCAUCUGUUAAUCUGCGAUCUAGCUUCUUCUGUUCUUGUUUCUCCGUCACUCUCUUCUCCUUAUCUUCGCGCGAUGAACCAGUUAGAUUAGCAUUAAUCUCGAUCGGUUUUUCCCCUCGAUUUUCAUCGAUUACGUCGCUUGAAAACUUGGAUAAGUGAGUUAGAUUAGGUUUGAUUCAAUCUGUUAAUAUGCGAUCUAGCUUCUUCCGUUCUUGUUUCUCUGUCACUCUCUUCUCCUUAUCUUCGCGCGCUAAAUCGGUUAGAUUAGCAUUGAUCUCAAUCAGUUUCUUCCCUUCGAUUUUCAUCCUCUGCUUGAUUUUCAUCGAUUACGUCGCUUGAAAACUUAGAUAAGUGAGUUAGAUUAGGUUUGAUUUUAUCUGUUAAUCUGUGAUCUAACUUCUUUCGUUCUUGUUUAUCCAUCACUUUCUUCUCCUUAUCUUCGCGCUUUGAACCGGUUAGAUUAACGUUGAUUUCAAUCGGUUUCUUCCCCUUCAUUUUCAUCCUCUGCUCGAUUUUCAUCAAUUGCGUUACUUGAAAACAGAUAAGUGAGUUAGAUUAGGUUUGAUUUCAUCUGUUAAUCUGCGAUCUAGCUUCUUCCGUUUUCUCCGCAACUCUCUUCUCCUUGUCUUCGCGCGUUGAACUAGUUAGAUUAGCGUCAAUCUCGAUCGGUUUCUUCCCCUCGAUUUUCAUCCUUUGCUCGAUUUUUAUUGAUUACGUCACUUGAAAACUUAGAUGAGUGAGUUAGAUUAGGUUUGAUUUCAUCUGUUAAUAUGCGAUCUAACUUCUUCCAUUCUUGUUUCUCCGUCACUCUCUUCUCCUUAUCUUCGCACGCUGAACCGGUUAGAUUAGCAUUGAUCUUGAUCGGUUUCUUCCCCUCAAUUUUCAUCGAUUAUGUCGCUUGAAAACUAAGAUGAGCGAGUUAGAUUAGGUUUGAUUUCAUCUCUUAAUCUGCGAUCUAGCUUCUUCCGUUCUUGUUUCUUCGUCACUCUGUUAAUUUUCUCCUUAUCUUCACGCGCUGAAUUGGUUAAAUUAGUGUUGAUCUCGAUCGGUUUCUUCCCCUUGAUUUUCAUCAUUUGCUCAAUUUUCAUCGAUUAUGUUACUCGAAAACCUCAAUUAUUUAGAUAAGUGAGUUAGUUCUAUUUUAUUUUAUUUUUUGUUUUUGGCUUCUAAGUCUGUGCUUAACCUUCAGUUAUGUGCGGAAUUCGGGGUGGGGGUGGGCAGAGUUGUCAUGCGUAGUAUAAGGUAAGAUUCCAAUGUUAAUUAUAUAAUACAUUUUAGGUUGUCUUGUACUUCAUAUUUGAUUUAAUUUGCAAUUAUAAGGAAAGUUGAGUCGCUAGAAAGGAGGGAGGGGAGGAGUGAGAGUGAGAGUGAGAGAGAGAUGUCGUGCAUGCUCAUAAGGUAAAACUGCAAUGCUAAUUAUGUAGGAUUUUCUCGUAUUAUGGUAUUUCAUGGUUGAUUUAAGUAGCUUUUCUGAGAUUAUUAGUAAGAAAGUUGAGUUAUAACAUUUUCCUUUGAUAUAAAAGUACAGUCAUUUGCUUUUCGAUACCUAUGUAGUCUCCUUAUCUUCGUGCCUUAUGUGAGUUCUUCAUCUCUUGUCAGCGAGUCAGUCAGUCAGUCAUGACCACCCCUCUGUGCUUUCGUCUGGAGCAAGCUCUGAGGAGAUUCAGAAAGCAGAGACACAGCAUGAUGAAACCGUAGAAUAUAUGAUUAAUCCAUUGUAGAGGAGGGCAAACACUGUCAGCACUCAAGCAACUCUUGAUAGGGCGGAGGCAGCUCUGAAUUUGUUGUUGGAUGAGCUGCAUGAACAAGAAUGUUAUUUAUUUUUGUGAUCCCACAUUUUCAGACCCACAUUUUCUCUUAACGUGGCGAUUAUUCGACAUGAAGUUUUUCCACAUUUCGUAUCUUUCGUGACAAUCGCCCAUUUGAUAACCGUCUUGAUGGGAGACGGUGUAUAAAAGGAACGUACGUUCAUUU